rnacentral:tRNA from 1 species
AAAGGAUAGUUUUAAAUAAAAUAUUAAUUUUGGAGAUUAAAGAUGAAGGUUAACUUUUCCUUUGA